rnacentral:tRNA from 1 species
UCUUCCGUAGUAUAGUGGUCAGUAUGCAAGCUUGUCACGCUUGAGAGACCCGGGUUCAAUUCCCGGCGAGAGCC